rnacentral:rRNA from 1 species
CCUACGGGGGGCAGCAGUGAGGAAUAUUGGUCAAUGGGCGGAAGCCUGAACCAGCCAAGUCGCGUGCGGGAUUAAGGCCCUGCGGGUCGUAAACCUCUUUUGCCGGGGAGCAGUGGUCCGGACGCGUCCGGCCCGGGAGAGUACCCGGAGAAAAAGCAUCGGCUAACUCCGUGCCAGCAGCCGCGGUAAUACGGAGGAUGCGAGCGUUAUCCGGAUUUAUUGGGUUUAAAGGGUGCGUAGGCGGGCAUUUAAGCCGGCGGUCAAAUGUCGGGGCUCAACCCCGGCCUGCCGUCGGAACUGGGGGCCUUGAGUGGGCGAGAAGUAUGCGGAAUGCGUGGUGCAGCGGUGAAAUGCAUAGAUAUCACGCAGAACCCCGAUUGCGAAGGCAGCAUACCGGCGCCCGACUGACGCUGAGGCACGAAAGUGCGGGUAUCGAACAGGAUUAGAUACCCUUGUAGUC